GUCAGGGCGCACGAUCGGAGACCGGAGGCAACGUGGGAGAUAUGGCUCCAUCACUAUUCACCCGUCUCUCAGUUUACGGUUCAUGGGGAAGCAAAUGAACCAAACAGAACUAUGUUUCUCUAUUGAUUAGGUGCAGAGCCUGUGAGAUUGUAGUACGUUUAAGUUCUUUGGCUUUUGUUCCUGACUAUGAGAAGUAAAGCAAGAUAUAUAUUUCUUGCAGAAGUAUAAAGACAACAGUGUGCACUAGGGAUAUUGAGAAUAUUUUAUAUGUGGGGAGAUGGGCAUGCCAAGCUGUAGGAAUAUAAUAUAGUAACACAUAGAAACACACCCGUCUACCAAACUCUCUCAAACCAUUUUGGAGCGAGGACUAGGAUUAUUGUGGAAAGCAGUUGACUGAAAGGCAAGAGAGAAAAGAAGAUAAGUGAAGUAGGAGGGGACUGUUGGAGUUUAGAGAUGAUGGGAAUGUGAUUCAGAUUCCUGUGCUCUUACGGGAAUUAGUCCAAUCAUAGACCUAUAAUAACUCAGCCAGCGCUUCAAGUAUUUAUGCAAGUAAUUCCCCACAUUCAUUUUUGUGUGCUGUCUGAAAGUAAAAUAUGAUUACCAUAUCAGGAUUGCUCUAUUGAGAUACUAUAUUUGGACACUGUUCUAUGUGAA